rnacentral:rRNA from 1 species
GCGAAAUGCGAUAAGUAAUGUGAAUUGCAGAAUUCAGUGAAUCAUCGAAUCUUUGAACGCACAUUGCGCCCGCCAGUAUUCUGGCGGGCAUGCCUGUUCGAGCGUCAUUU